AUGGCUUCCCAUUCCGGCUGGGCAGCCAUUGACAAGGCAUCGUGCCUAGCUCACCGGUCAUCGUCGCCCGUUCACUACGAUAACCUCCUGUGGGCAUGACACUUGACCUGUUAACAAGGCAUCGAGUUGGGACGAUGUGGGGCUUGGGCAAGGCACUUGGCGUGUUGACAAUGCACGGUGGCCCUGCAUGGCUAGAACGAUGUGGGUAUUCGGCAAGGCACUGUGGGCAUCGUGGUCAGUUUACACAUCUAGCCUCCUUUUGCAUUUUUGCUGGCCACCCCUGCGAGGACCCCGGGGUUUAUGGCUCCCCUAGUCCCCCUAUAUAUACAUUCUGAUUAAAAGGCAAAGUGUCAGGAACAGACAUUACUUUUUUCAAUGGAUCAUAAUCUGCCAUACCAUUGUGAAAGCCGUUCUAGCCAACACUUGUGAAAUUUUCCAACACUUGUAG
rnacentral:lncRNA from 1 species